AUUGAACGCUGGCGGCAGGCCUAACACAUGCAAGUCGAACGAGUGGCGGACGGGUGAGUAAUGUCUGGGAAACUGCCUGAUGGAGGGGGAUAACUACUGGAAACGGUAGCUAAUACCGCAUACCAUCAGAUGUGCCCAGAUGGGAUGAGCUAGGUGGUGGGGUACCGGCUCACCAAGGCGACGAUCCCUAGCUGGUCUGAGAGGAUGACAGGCCAAACUGGAACGGAGAAACGGUCCAGACUCCUACGGUGGGCCGCAGUGGGGAAUAUUGCACAAUGGGCGCAAGCCUGAUGCAGCACUGCCGCGUGUAUGAAGAAGGCCUUCGGGUUGUAGAGUACUUUCAGCGGGGAGGCGUUACCCGCAGAAGAAGCACCGACUAACUCCGUGCCAGCAGCCGCGGUAAUAC
rnacentral:rRNA from 1 species